rnacentral:tRNA from 1 species
GCGGGGGUGGCGGAGCAGGUAGACGCGCCAGGUUCAGGACCUGGUGGGCCGAGAGGCCCGUGUGAGUUCGACUCUCACUCCCCGUACCA